rnacentral:rRNA from 1 species
GCCAAAAAUCUAGCCCAUUAACACCUCAUGAACCUCCAACCAUCUUGUAUAUAAACUAAAACAUUCUUCCAUUCUAGUAAAGGGGAUUAAAAAAAUUAUAGGAGCAAUACAUAUAGUACCGCAAGGGAAAGAUGAAAUAAAAAUGAAAUAAACCUAAAGCAUAGAAAAGUAGAGAUUUUAUCUCGUACCUUUUGCAUCAUGGUUUAACUAGUCUAAUCAAGCAUAAAGCAUUAUAGUUUGACCCCCCGAAACUAAGCGAGCUACUUCAGGGCAGCUUUAUGAGCGAACCCGUCUCUGUUGCAAAAGAGUGGGAUGACCUUCAAGUAGGGGUGACAGACCUAACGAGCUUAGUGAUAGCUGGUUACUCAAAAAAAGGAUUUUAGUCCAACCUAAUGCUUCCACUAAAAAUUAAAAUUUACCCUAAGCUUUAGAGCAAUUCGAAUAAGGUACAGCCUAUUUGAAACAGGAUACAACCUCAGCUGACGGGUAAUUAAUUAAUACGACUCAACUAAGUGGGCCUAAAAGCAGCCACCUUUUAAAAAGCGUCAAAGCUUGAUUGAAGAAUUCAACUAAUCCCCCUAGCCUCUAACUAACCCUCUCUCACUAUUGAGUAAUUCUAUAUCCCUAUAGAACCUAUUAUGUUAAAACUAGUAACAAGAAGCCUAAACCUUCUCUAAGCUGUGAGUGUAAAUCAGAAGGGAUAGCCCACUGAUAAUUAACGUAUGUGAACUAGUAUUAGUAACCUCCCCAGAAAACCCUAAUCUCCUACCACGUUAACCUAACACCAGAACACCACCAGAAAGAUUUAAAGGGAAAGAAGGAACUCGGCAAAUAUAAACCCCGCCUGUUUACCAAAAACAUCGCCUUUUGAGCAAAAAUAAAAGGUCCAGCCUGCCCAGUGACUCUAGUUCAACGGCCGCGGUAUCCUAACCGUGCGAAGGUAGCGUAAUCACUUGUUCUUUAAAUCAGGACUAGUAUGAAUGGCAUCACGAGGGUUUUACUGUCUCCUUUCCCCAAUCAGUGAAACUAUUCUCCCCGUGAAGAAACGGGGAUAAACAUAUAAGACGAGAAGACCCUAUGGAGCUUUAAAUUUUAUUUCAACUGCUUUCCUCAUAAGACCAGUUCCGACCCCUCUUACCAAAUCAAGCAUAAUGACAGUAAAUUUUAGGUUGGGGUGACCACGGAGUACAAAAAAACCCCCGUAUUGAACAAAGGACUAACUUUGAACAAAGAGCUACGACUCUAAGUACUAACAUAUUAACAUCCAUUGACCCAAUAUUUUUGAUCAACGAACCAAGUUACCCUAGGGAUAACAGCGCAAUCUACUUUAAGAGCCCAUAUCGACAAGUAGGUUUACGACCUCGAUGUUGGAUCAGGGUAUCCCAGUGGUGCAGCCGCUACUAAAGGUUCGUUUGUUCAACGAUUAAAACCCU